AGAGUUUGAUCCUGGCUCAGAACGAUCGCUGGCGGCGUGCCUAACACAUGCAAGUCGAACGUGAUCCAGAGCUUGCUCUGGUGAAAGUGGCGCACGGGUGAGUAACGCGUGGAUAACCUACCCUGGUAUCCGGGAUAACAUUCCGAAAGGGGUGCUAAUACCGGAUAAGCCCACGGGCUCUUUGGAGCUUGCGGGAAAAGGUGGCCUCUAUUUAUAAGCUACUGUAUCAGGAUGGGUCCGCGUACCAUUAGCUAGUUGGCGGUGUAACGGACCACCAAGGCGACGAUGGUUAGCUGGUCUGAGAGGAUGAUCAGCCACACUGGAACUGAGACACGGUCCAGACUCCUACGGGAGGCAGCAGUGGGGAAUUUUGCGCAAUGGGGGAAACCCUGACGCAGCAACGCCGCGUGAGUGAUGAAGGCCUUUGGGUCGUAAAGCUCUGUCAGAGGGGAAGAAAUGAUAUAGUGCUAAUACCACUUUAUCUUGACGGUACCCUCAAAGGAAGCACCGGCUAACUCCGUGCCAGCAGCCGCGGUAAUAC
rnacentral:rRNA from 1 species